rnacentral:rRNA from 1 species
AUUGAACGCUGGCGGCAUGCUUUACACAUGCAAGUCGAACGGUAACAGGCCGCAAGGUGCUGACGAGUGGCGAACGGGUGAGUAAUGCAUCGGAACGUGCCCAGUCGUGGGGGAUAACGCAGCGAAAGCUGCGCUAAUACCGCAUACGAUCUCUGGAUGAAAGCGGGGGACCGAAAGGCCUCGCGCGAUUGGAGCGGCCGAUGUCAGAUUAGGUAGUUGGUGGGGUAAAGGCCCACCAAGCCAACGAUCUGUAGCUGGUCUGAGAGGACGACCAGCCACACUGGGACUGAGACACGGCCCAGAAUCCUACGGGAGGCAGCAGUGGGGAAUUUUGGACAAUGGGCGCAAGCCUGAUCCAGCAAUGCCGCGUGCAGGAAGAAGGCCUUCGGGUUGUAAGCUGCUUUUGUACGGAACGAAACGGUCCGGGUUAAUACCCUGGGCUAAUGACGGUACCGUAAGAAUAAGCACCGGCUAACUACGUGCCAGCCGCCGCGGUAAUAC